CGCUUGGCUGGUCGAUCGGCGGUGUCCCGCCGAUCUGUCACGACAGCGAGGUCCCGGUGCUGUUCGAUCCGACCCUGAGCGG
rnacentral:tRNA from 1 species